rnacentral:ncRNA from 2 species
UGUGGGAGCGAGCUUGCUCGCGAUGGCGGCGGCACAUUCAAUAACUAUGUGACUGACAGACCGCUAUCGCGAGCAAGCUCGCUCCCACA